rnacentral:lncRNA from 1 species
AGGUUGGAAACAUUGUUUAUGCUAAAAAGGCUAUUUGCUGCUAUAAUUUGUGUUUCUCAUUGUUAGGUGGCAGGGAGCCCAGUGGUGCUUUGGCUUUGGCUCAAAUAAAAGCAGUGCUGUACAGAAGGCAGAUCAUCUUCCUGGUGAAUUGAGAGGAUGCUAUCUGCUGUCUACAGUCAGCAUGGAAAUGGCACAAGCCUCCAGUGACUGCAUUUGAUGGGAUUUUUCUGUGGUGGACUCCACUGUGUUUACAACUGAUUUGGGAUGAUGCGGUGCUGUAAAGAGCUACCAAUAAACUAGAAGUUUGGUCUAACGGGAGAAGAACAGAGAAAAAAAUCCCUUUCUCCUGGUGCAGGGAUACAUUCAGACUGGACUGCUUAUUUUUGGUUUGCUGCCAAUAUGUUCCUCGGAUAGGAGGGGGCUGGUUUAGAUGUAGUUUCCCUCUCAUAAAAGCUGCUACCCGCACUGCAAUGGUGGACAUGACUGUGAACUUUAAGAUUCAAGAAGGCUGUUCUAAAAGCUACUGGAAAGAGUGUGAAAAUGCUCUAAAACUACAACUGGCCAUCCCAAGUGCUAAUGAGAGAGCCACAAGGUGCUUCCCCACCAGAGAAGGCUGCUGUGUACCCUGCAGUCCCUCUAAGGACCUGACUGUUGGAGAAGAGGGAGUAGCCUAUCUACUUACGGAAGAAUUCCAGAAGGAUGGCUGUUUAUCCCUCCUGCUGUCACGUUCCAUCUUUCUAGCUUGUGGGCUUUUGCAAAGGAAGGUUAUCAGCAAUCUGCUGCAGAGUCCUUCCCACUCAGUAAAUCAAAGCCUUGCUCUUCUCCGGUUCAUUUCCAUGGACAGAUGA